AUUGAACGCUGGCGGAAUGUUUUACACAUGCAAGUCGAACGGCAGCACGGACUUCGGUCUGGUGGCGAGUGGCGAACGGGUGAGUAAUGUAUCGGAACGUGCCCAGUCGUGGGGGAUAACGUAGUGAAAAUUACGCUAAUACCGCAUACGAUCUAUGGAUGAAAGCGGGGGAUCGCAAGACCUCGCGCGAUUGGAGCGGCCGAUAUCAGAUUAGGUAGUUGGUGGGGUAAAGGCCCACCAAGCCAACGAUCUGUAGCUGGUCUGAGAGGACGACCAGCCACAAUGGAACUGAGACACGGUCCAGACUCCUACGGGAGGCAGCAGUGGGGAAUUUUGGACAAUGGGCGAAAGCCUGAUCCAGCCAUGCCGCGUGCAGGAUGAAGGCCUUCGGGUUGUAAACUGCUUUUGUACGGAACGAAAAGGUUUGGCCUAAUAAGCUGAGCUCAUGACGGUACCGUAAGAAUAAGCACCAGCUAACUACGUGCCAGCAGCCGCGGUAA
rnacentral:rRNA from 1 species